rnacentral:rRNA from 1 species
UACGGAGGGUGCGAGCGUUAAUCGGAUUUACUGGGCGUAAAGGGUACGUAGGCGGCUUUUUAAGUCGGGUGUGAAAGCCCCGGGCUCAACCUGGGAACUGCACUCGAAACUGGAUGGCUAGAGUUUUAGAGAGGAAGGGGGAAUUCCACGUGUAGCGGUGAAAUGCGUAGAUAUGUGGAGGAACACCAAUGGCGAAGGCACCCUUCUGGCUGAAAACUGACGCUGAGGUACGAAAGCGUGGGUAGCGAAC